CUUUUGUUGCGUCUUGAGAUUUGCUUCUCACGUCAUUCUUUUAAAAAAAAAUAACUCGAGCCAAUAGAGAGUUUUAAUUGAUUAAAUCCCAUUUUCUAGAACCCUAAUCUUGUGUCAGGGCUUACGAGUUGGGAGGUAAUCUUAGGUAAGCAAUUCCUAUGGAGUGUAGGCCUUCCCAAAGGUAAAGAAAGUGCGCAAAAGUUUUCUUGGGCGGGAAGAAAAUGAGCCAUUGAUUGCAAAAGCAAAAGGUAGCUUGACCAUAAGACCAGCGUGUCAAAUAGGGAUGAAAGUAACCGGCCUAAGUAAUCCGAUGGUGCCGAAUAAAAGAGCUGUUGCUUAAAAGAAUUAAAG
rnacentral:ncRNA from 1 species